rnacentral:rRNA from 1 species
AUUGAACGCUGGCGGCAUGCUUUACACAUGCAAGUCGAACGGUAACAGGCCGCAAGGUGCUGACGAGUGGCGAACGGGUGAGUAGUGCAUCGGAACGUGCCCAAUCGUGGGGGAUAACGCAGCGAAAGCUGUGCUAAUACCGCAUACGAUCUGUGGAUGAAAGCGGGGGACUCGCAAGGGCCUCGCGCGAUUGGAGCGGCCGAUGUCAGAUUAGGUAGUUGGUGAGGUAAAGGCUCACCAAGCCAACGAUCUGUAGCUGGUCUGAGAGGACGACCAGCCAAACUGGGACUGAGACACGGCCCAGACUCCUACGGGAGGCAGCAGUGGGGAAUUUUGGACAAUGGGGGCAACCCUGAUCCAGCAAUGCCGCGUGCAGGAAGAAGGCCUUCGGGUUGUAAACUGCUUUUGUACGGAACGAAACGGUCUGGGUUAAUACCCUGGGCUAAUGACGGUACCGUAAGAAUAAGCACCGGCUAACUACGUGCCAGCCGCCGCGGUAA